rnacentral:tRNA from 1 species
GGUCCCGUACCGGGCCCGACCGAGCGGCCCUUCGCAUGCGCCGAUCUACUCUCCUGCCCGGAGUGCGGCCGGGACCUCACCGGCCGGGACCGC